AGUGUCUUUGUUAACAUAUUCGGCAAAUAGCUAAAAGCCAAAAUGUUCUGCGUGCACUGCGCUCCAAUCAAAUGUCUCUAUUAGUUGGGCUUGGCAACAAAUGCAGCUGAGAUACGCUUCCACACAAAGCAGCUCGCUGUGAGAUCAUAUCAGUGGGGGUUCUGAGUGUUUAUCAAAGAAAUUACUGAUCAUAACAUCACCCACAUUGCUCUCCAAAGAGAUGCCAGACCCAUCUUGCAUAUUAGUCCUUGAUGAGAAAAAUGCAAUUAAAAUGUCAACUACUUUUUAUUAGAAUCUGCCCACCCUGUGGAGCUCAGCGUCCUCUAGAGUCCACUGCAGGCAGUCGAAGGAUGGCACGGCAAAAGGGUUCCGUCAGAGUUUCAGCUGGAGGGGAACAGCCGAUUUGGCUUGUCCUCUGGGGUUGGCGUUAUUGGGAAGCACUCUCUCCCUGCCUCCAUUUCCUGUCCUGUUUAAUCGCUUCCAGGUGAGAGGUGUUCUUCUGACCUCUUCUGGGAAUGCUUAUUAAAACUGUUUUCCUAUUGAUACCGUGGGUUUGAUAUUUACCAGAUUUGACAAAGUAAAGAUCUCAUGUUUGGCAUAAUAUUACAAGGGAAACAUAAGUGAAUUAUUUGGCCUGAAUGCUGCAGAUAUAACAUUGUUAAGGUGCAGGCUUGAAACUCAAUCCUUGGUCCCACACCACAUUUGGUUUUCAUUCUUUUUCUCGAAAAUUUAACAAUAGCACCCAGGGAUUAAGUCAUGAGGCAGGUCGCAGCCAAACCAAACAUCCUGCCUCCUACAGAAUAAUGAAGACAGAUGAAAAAAGGAAACAGGUGUAAAGUGUACUUUUUUUCUUUAUGUUUUCUCAAGGAGGCAUUUUACGCCGAGGCUGUCUUCGAACGAAACGAAGCCCAUCUAAAAAAGAAAAAACACAUAGCAAAACAAAACAAGGGAUGUUAUUCUUCUUUCAGCACAAACAGGGUUCCCGGUACAUGAGCUC
ensembl:lncRNA